CGGGGCGGCGGGGCCGGGGAGCAGCGAGCGACCAGCCGGGGCUGCGCUACGGAGCAGGUUGCACCAGCUGCCGGGAUCGCCGCACAAACGAGCAAAACGUCGUCCGAAAUGGCAGCCGAGGGGGAUAAACUCUGGGGAGGAAGAUUCAGUGGAAGCACAGAUCCAGUCAUGGAGAUUCUCAAUGCUUCCAUUACCUAUGAUCAAAGACUGUCUGAGGUUGAUGUCCAGGGGAGCAUGGCAUAUGCCAAAGCCUUGGAGAAGGCUGGAAUCCUAUCUAAAACUGAGCUGGAGAAGAUCCUGAGUGGCCUG